UGUAAUUAGAACAUAUUAUGGGGAAAAAAAAAAAAGCAAAGAAAUUACAACAAAAGGCCAAAAAGGAGGAAUGAAAAAUGCAAUUGCUCACCACUAGCUGAUCCAUGCCCAUCAAGUCCUAGAGUUACGGUAGCCCCCACAGAACUGCGCCCCUAAUUUUGUUGUACAGCACAAAGGUGCACUGAGAAAAGGCUGAAAAGGAACCAGUUUGGAUAAAGGAGGCAUUGCCUCUUUGCCAGAAACCCCCAAGGCCUGGGUUGUGAGUGAGUCCCCUUCUUCACAGGACACAGGCUACAGCACCAGGUCUCCCCAUGGAGUCGCUGGCAGGCAGAGGGGCUCAGGCUGUGUAGCCGUGUAAAAGGAACAACAGUUCAGGGCUGAUUUACAAUUAGCAAGCACGUGCAAAGAGAAUGAGCUAAAGGGCUUUGGAAAAGGCUGGUGAUGUGUUCUGGUGCCAUGGGAGCUGUCAGUCAAUGGGCUAAAGCUGGUUGGAGUCGAGGUCCAGUAGGGUUUUGCAGGGAGGAUACUGUCCCUGAGAUAAAGACAGAGGCAGCCUGUGCUGCGGUGUUUGACUAGCUGUGAAUAAAAGUUGGGGCUCUACACAUGAAAAAGACGCAGCAGGGGCUGAGGCAGGGCCCUGCUGAUGAGAGCCUCUUAGUGUGGGCAAGGCUCAUGCAACCACAGCAAGCCCACAGGAAAGGUCCCAGCUGCACUGCAAGCCUUUGCCCCACCGUCCCCAGCUUACAGCAAAGCAGACACCUGAAGCAGACGCUGCUCCCCAAAAGCAGCACCCCAAAAGAUGCUGGGGCAGCCACCAUGGGCAAGGCUGUCUCCUUCUGGCCUUGCCAUCCUGCUGCUGGUGAUCUGUGCUGGAGUGACCACCCAGGACAUCUGCAGCUCUCCAGGAUUGCAGGAAAAUGGAGGUAACGACCAGACGCCAGUCCUGUACCUCAACGCUUCCAGUGCCCAGGAGGGGGAAAAAGUGCUGCUUCAAUGUACCAUUGAUGAGCAGUUUCCUGCUAAGCGAAUUGUCUUCUGCAAGAAUGGGCAGGAGGAGUUCAGCCUGAAAGCCCAGAAUGGCAGGCUCAUCUAUGCUCUGGUCCUGAACAUCACCUCAAGAAGUGCUGGCACGUACACAUGUGGGUACCAGCAGAGGAAUGACAGCAACUGGGUGAGGAGCUCUGCUCUCAGUGCUCCCCAGACCCUGUCCAUGGCAGGUGCAACUGCUGGUGAGGCCACCCAGGACAUCCACAGCUCCCCAGCUCCCCAUGCCCGGAUCCUACACACCCUCCCCAUAGGCAUGGUGCUAGCAGUGGCAGCCGUCGGCCUCAUCCUCCUGGCUGCAGGCAGCUGCUUUGCCAUCAGGAAAGGUGCCUGCAGAGGGAGAUGCCCAAGGCAGCAGCACGUUGACAGCCCACAGACGGAAGACACCAACUAUGGUGACAUCCAGUACUCCACCAUCUCGACGGGACAGGCCUCUUACCAUGCAACAGAUGAACAACACCACAACGUAAGGCAUGGUGACCCACACCCAGACCCAAUAGCACUGCCACAGGGCAAGGGCACUGGAGCCUCACCCACAGCUGCCUUUGCUCUCUUCAAGAGGGCUCCUGCAGCUGUAAGGUGGGGCUGGAGUUUGCAAUUUGAACUCCAUUGAGAUUUGUUGUCACAGGGAAAGGCUGUGAUUGUCUAGCCAAGACGAUGUAGGAAUCACACCUCUACCUACAAUACAUUAAUAAUUCUAAAGUAUAUGGGCUAUACCAAAUCAUACUGUGAAUGUAUUUUCUCUGAAUAAAAGAAAAUCUCUCACUGUGCUUAGUGGAUGAUGUGUAAACCUAAGUUGUACUAUAAAGUCGCAGGGGUGCUCUUCUACCCACCCACAGAGAUGCACAUUUGCACCUGCAGGGACAGAUAGCACUGCCGGGAUGUUCUCACAUGAGUGUCCCAAUAGGUGUGUGCACUACAGAUGUGGUUUUGGUUAGAUGACAAAUAAACAUCUCUGACUUGACCUGAGGUGCAGGUGGGAAUCACUCUCCUGAGGAUGAUGGCCCUGCCGGGAAGUUGGACACACUGCCUGGCAAGACAAGGGGACAGGCUGAGAGUCCACGGUGCACCCAGCUCCUUCCCAGAAUGAGCCUCAGUCGUCAGGAGUGAGGAACAGCCUUGCAGUCCGUAGAGUACCACGGUACCAGGGUUCCACGCUUCAGCCCAUGGAGGAGACCACAGUGGAGCAGGUGGCCCUGCACCGAUGGAGGCUGUGGCCUGUGGAAGACCCCUGCUGGAGCAGAUUCCGGGCUGGACCAAGGAGAGGAGACUACACAGGAGCAGGUGACCAGGCAGGAGCUGCUGCCCGUGGGGGAGCCAGGUUGGAGCAGUUUGCUCCUGAGGGAUGGACCCCAUGAUACGGAUCCAUAUCUUGAGCAGUUCUGGAAGAGCUGUAGCCUGUGAGCAGCCCAUGCCGUAUCAGUUCACCAAGGACUGUAUCCCGUGGGAGGGACCCCACAGCACAGGGGACAAGAGUGACCGAGAAGGAGCGGCAGAGAACAAGUGCUGUAGACUGACCAUAACCCCCAUUCCCCCCAUCCCCCUGCACCACACAGGGGGAGGAGCUGGAAGAGGGUGGAUGGGGGGGAAGGUUCUUUUGGUUUCUUUCCUUUGUUUCUCACUUCUCUAGCUUGCUAGCAAAAGGUAAUAAAUCUUACUAUCUCCCUAUGCUGAGCCUGUUUUGCCCUCCACGAUAAUUACUGUGCCAUAUCCUCAAUCUAAUCUCAACCCCGGAGCCCUUUUCAUUGUUUUGUCUCCCCAUUCCUCUUUCAGAAGGGGGAGUGAGAGAGCAGUUGUGGUGGAGCUCGGCCGCCCACCUGGAUAAAACCACCACAGAUGUGCUCAUACAUGUUCCAGUUGGUGUGUGUAUUGCAGAUGUGGUUUUGCUGUGGUGACAAAUAAACAUCUCUGAAUUUGUGUUCCUGAUGGCA